GAUGAACGCUGGCGGCGUGCCUAAUACGUGCAAGUCGAGCGAACGGACGAGAAGCUUGCUUUUCUGAUGUUAGCGGCGGACGGGUGAGUAACACGUGGAUAACCUACCUAUAAGACUGGGAUAACUUCGGGAAACCGGAGCUAAUACCGGAUAAUAUUUUGAACCGCAUGGUUCAAAAGUGAAAGACGGUCUUGCUGUCACUUAUAGAUGGAUCCGCGCUGCAUUAGCUAGUUGGUAAGGUAACGGCUUACCAAGGCAACGAUGCAUAGCCGACCUGAGAGGGUGAUCGGCCACACUGGAACUGAGACACGGUCCAGACUCCUACGGGAGGCAGCAGUAGGGAAUCUUCCGCAAUGGGCGAAAGCCUGACGGAGCAACGCCGCGUGAGUGAUGAAGGUCUUCGGAUCGUAAAACUCUGUUAUUAGGGAAGAACAUAUGUGUAAGUAACUGUGCACAUCUUGACGGUACCUAAUCAGAAAGCCACGGCUAACUACGUGCCAGCAGCCGCGGUAAUGCGUAGGUGGCAAGCGUUAUCCGGAAUUAUUGGGCGUAAAGCGCGCGUAGGCGGUUUUUUAAGUCUGAUGUGAAAGCCCACGGCUCAACCGUGGAGGGUCAUUGGAAACUGGAAAACUUGAGUGCAGAAGAGGAAAGUGGAAUUCCAUGUGUAGCGGUGAAAUGCGCAGAGAUGUGGAGGAACACCAGUGGCGAAGGCGACUUUCUGGUCUGUAACUGACGCUGAUGUGCGAAAGCGUGGGGAUCAAACAGGAUUAGAUACCCUGGUAGUCCACGCCGUAAACGAUGAGUGCUAAGUGUUAGGGGGUUUCCGCCCCUUAGUGCUGCAGCUAACGCAUUAAGCACUCCGCCUGGGGAGUACGACCGCAAGGUUGAAACUCAAAGGAAUUGACGGGGGCCCGCACAAGCGGUGGAGCAUGUGGUUUAAUUCGAAGCAACGCGAAGAACCUUACCAAAUCUUGACAUCCUUUGACAACUCUAGAGAUAGAGCCUUCCCCUUCGGGGGACAAAGUGACAGGUGGUGCAUGGUUGUCGUCAGCUCGUGUCGUGAGAUGUUGGGUUAAGUCCCGCAACGAGCGCAACCCUUAAGCUUAGUUGCCAUCAUUAAGUUGGGCACUCUAAGUUGACUGCCGGUGACAAACCGGAGGAAGGUGGGGAUGACGUCAAAUCAUCAUGCCCCUUAUGAUUUGGGCUACACACGUGCUACAAUGGACAAUACAAAGGGCAGCGAAACCGCGAGGUCAAGCAAAUCCCAUAAAGUUGUUCUCAGUUCGGAUUGUAGUCUGCAACUCGACUACAUGAAGCUGGAAUCGCUAGUAAUCGUAGAUCAGCAUGCUACGGUGAAUACGUUCCCGGGUCU
rnacentral:rRNA from 1 species